rnacentral:misc_RNA from 1 species
UCCGGUUUGUCACCGGCAGUCUCAUUAGAGUGCCCUUGCGUAGCAACUAAUGAUAAGGGUUGCGCUCGUUGCGGGACUUAACCCAACAUCUCACGACACGAGUUGACGACAGCCAUGCAGCACCUGUGUCACGGUUCCCGAAGGCACCGAGGCAUCUCUGCCAAGUUCCGUGCAUGUCAAGACCAGGUAAGGUUAUUCGCGUUGCAUCGAAUUAAACCACAUGCUCCACCGCUUGUGCGGGCCCCCGUCAAUUCCUUUGAGUUUUAAUCUUGCGACCGUACUCCCCAGGCGGAAUGCUUAAAGCGUUAGCUGCGCCACUAGUGAGUAAACCCACUAACGGCUGGCAUUCAUCGUUUACGGCGUGGACUAC